UAUCCAGACUCCUACGGGAGGCAGCAGUGAGGAAUAUUGGUCAAUGGGCGGAAGCCUGAACCAGCCAAGUCGCGUGAGGGAAGAAGGCCCUGCGGGUCGCAGACCUCUUUGGACGGGGAGCAAGGCCGCCGACGUGUCGGCGGAAGGAGAGUACCCGUAGAACAAGCAUCGGCUAACUACGUGCCAGCAGCCGCGGUAAUACGUAGGUGGCAAGCGUUGUCCGGAAUUACUGGGUGUAAAGGGAGCGUAGGCGGGAAGUCAAGUCAGCUGUGAAAACUACGGGCUUAACCUGUAGACUGCAGUUGAAACUGGCUUUCUUGAGUGGAGUAGAGGUUGGCGGAAUUCCGAGUGUAGCGGUGAAAUGCGUAGAUAUUCGGAGGAACACCGGUGGCGAAGGCGGCCAACUGGGCUUUAACUGACGCUGAGGCUCGAAAGUGUGGGGAGCAAACAGGAUUAGAUACCCUGGUA
rnacentral:rRNA from 1 species